rnacentral:rRNA from 1 species
UACGGAGGAUGCAAGCGUUAUCCGGAAUUAUUGGGCGUAAAGCGUCCGUAGGUGGUUAAUCAAGUCUAUUGUCAAAGCCUGGGGCUUAACCCUGGAGAGGCGGUGGAAACUGGUUGACUGGAGUGCGGUAGGGGCAGAGGGAAUUCCCAGUGUAGCGGUGAAAUGCGUAGAUAUUGGGAAGAACACCGGUGGCGAAAGCGCUCUGCUGGACCUGCACUGACACUGAGGGACGAAAGCUAGGGGAGCGAAAGGG